UGACAAUGUCACAGAACGCCAAAGG
rnacentral:piRNA from 1 species